rnacentral:rRNA from 1 species
UACAGAGGUCCCGAGCGUUGUUCGGAUUCAUUGGGCGUAAAGGGUGCGUAGGCGGCUUUCUAAGUUUGAUGUGAAAUCCUGGGGCUCAACCCUGGAACUGCAUUGAAUACUGGGAGGCUAGAGUACUGGAGAGGGAACUGGAAUUUACGGUGUAGCAGUGAAAUGCGUAGAGAUCGUAAGGAAGACCAGUGGCGAAGGCGAGUUUCUGGACAGUUACUGACGCUGAGGCACGAAGGCCAGGGGAGCAAACGGG